rnacentral:rRNA from 1 species
UACAGAGGUCUCAACCGUUGUUCGGAUUCAUUGGGCGUAAAGGGUGCGUAGGCGGUCGUGCAAGUCGGAUGUGAAAUCUCAGGGCUCAACCCUGAAACUGCAUUCGAUACUGCGUGGCUAGAGUGCUGGAGAGGAGACUGGAAUUUACGGUGUAGCAGUGAAAUGCGUAGAUAUCGUAAGGAAGACCAGUGGCGAAGGCGAGUCUCUGGACAGCAACUGACGCUGAGGCACGAAGGCCAGGGGAGCAAACGGGG